AUGAUCGCUGAAAUGGAUGUGGACAGCGUUGCAGGAUACUUCAGAAGCAAGAGCAUCCUCAUCACCGGUUCAACAGGCUUCCUAGGAAAAGUGCUUGUGGAGAAGAUACUGAGGGUUCAGCCAGAUGUGAAGAAGCUCUUCCUCUUAAUUCGGGCCCCAGAUGUUGAAUCUGCGAAGCUUCGUAUUCAAACUGAGGUCACAGGGAGGGAGAUCUUUCGUGUGUUGAAAGAAAAUCAUGGUGCAGGGUUCGAUAAUUUCAUUGAAGAAAAGAUUUGUCCUUCGGUCGGAAAUAUCAUGAAAGAGAACUUUGGAUUAGACAAUUCCCAAUUGAAAGAAUUCUCCAAGGAUAUAGACAUCAUCAUCAACGGGGCAGCGACUACAAAUUUCUUUGAAAGAUAUGAUGUGGCUUUCGACACAAAUGUCUUGGGAGCGAAGCACGUCUGCGCAUUUGCGAAGAAGUGUCCGAAGCUCAAGAUGUUGCUUCAUGUUUCAACUGCCUAUGUAGCUGGUGAAAAAGAGGGGCUAAUAUCGGAGAAGCCAUUCUUGAUGGGUGAGACCCUAAGGGUGGGCACAUAUCUGGACAUCGAAUCCGAGCUAAAUCUUAUCAACAAGACCAAGAGAGAACUAAUAGCCAACCGCUCAACUGACAAGGUUGUGAGAAAAGCCAUGAAGGAGCUUGGCCUCAAGAGAGCACGACACUUUGGAUGGGCAAACACCUAUGUCUUCACCAAGGCAAUGGGGGAGAUGCUGCUAGAACACCUGCACGAGGGUUGUCCGAUGGUCAUCAUCCGCCCAAGCAUCAUAACUAGUACUCUCAAGGAUCCCUUCCCUGGAUGGAUGGAAGGAAUAAGGACAAUCGAUACAGUGAUUGCCGGAUAUGCCAAGCAGACCAUGUCAUUCUUCCUAGCUGACCUGGAUUUGAUAAUGGACGUGAUUCCAGGGGACAUGGUGGUGAGCGCUAUGAUGGUUGCCAUGGUAGCACACUCGAAGGAUCAGCAAGCACAUAUCAUCUACCAUGUAACAUCAUCACAUCACAACCCCGCAACCUACGCCAUCCUCACAGAUUCGGGUCACCGCUACUUCUUCGACAACCCACCAUGCACAGGGAGGAAUGGUGAACGUGUGCGACUAAAGAAGAUGCGAUUCUUUAGGACAACUGCGAGUCUAAGAUUGUACAUGGCCAUCAAUUACAAGCUUCCCCUCGAGAUGCUUCACCUAGUGAACAUUACACUCUGUGGUGUUUUCUCACGGCGCUGCAGUGAGUACAACAGGAAAUACAGAUUCCUCACACUGCUGAUCGAGCUCUACGCGCCAUACGUCCUGUUCAAAGGACGCUUUGAUGACAACAACUUGGAGAGACUAAGGAUGGUGAGGAACAAGGAUCAAAAUAACAAUGAAGCCUGUUGGUUUGAUUUUGACCCCAGGUCCAUCAACUGGGAUGACUAUUUCUACAACGUUCACAUUCCUGGUGUGCUCAAAUAUAUGCAGACUGAGUUACAUUCGACUAGCCAAAAUUCAAACGAUGUUUCUAGGCUUUGA
rnacentral:rRNA from 1 species